AUUUUAUUAGCUUAUAAUAGAGCACUUUACUGAAGAUAAAGAAGACUAAACAUUUUCAUCAUGAAAUA
rnacentral:tRNA from 1 species